AGCUCCUAGGAAACUUGACAUAGUUGAAUGCACUGAUUUUUCAAUAACCAUUGAAUGGUUUAUUGAUGUCCCAGACGAGUGCCUAUCGUAUGAGCUUGAUUAUCGGCCUCAACGAACAAAGGACUGGUCUACCGGGAAAUUCCUUUCUAAAGAUGUUUUGAAAGAGGAAUAUGGACGACGCAUGUACAAACUUCAAAAUUUGCAACCUGAAACAUAUUAUGAAUUAAAAAUGCGUUCCGUUUAUGAAGAGGAUGUGAAAAGCCAUUAUUCUGAGUCUAAAACCAAGCAGACACUGAAAUUAG
rnacentral:lncRNA from 1 species